UUGUUAAUUGAUGAUAAGCUGGAAUAAUAUUAAUACACACAAAGCACAUGUUGUAACUUUUAUUAUGCUUCCUUAGAGGUAAGAUGCAAACUUGCCCUUAGGUAGUGUAAGAUGGUAAAUAUGACUUCAUCAAAUUAAAAAAAAAAGGAGAAGAAGUACAGUUAAUCAGAAGAAUUAUCUUGACUAGAACUUUCCAAAUUUGUCCUAAGGACUCUCCUAGAGAUGACACUGUGACAUAGUAACCAAUUCCCCUGGAGUUGUGCUAUCUAGUAUGACAGUCAUUUGCCAUAUGUAUAAAUCAGUUAAAAUUAAUUAAAUUAAAAAUGCAAUUUCUCAUUUGCUCCAGAUAGAUUUCAAGUGCUCAACAGCCACAUAUGGCAAGUGGCUGCCAUUUUGUGCAGCACAUAUAUGAAGAUUUUCAUCAUUGCAGAAAAUUGCGUUGGACGAUGUAGAGAAAACAUGAUUUACAGAAAAGCUAUUGUUAUUUAAAUACAGUGUUCUAUAUUAGUCAGUGGGAUAAUACCAUAUCAUAGUUAAAUGGCAAUAGCAAUUCUGUAAGACUCCCAAGCUGGCAGCCUGUUAUCGAUUACAUUGAUAGUAAAUUUGAGGACUACCUAAAUGCAGAAUCAUGCAUGAACAGACAUCAGAUGCCUGAUAACAGGGUGCAGUGUUGUUUAUCCUUCAUUGCUUCUUCAGGACAUCGACAGUUACAUAACUGAAGACUCCCACCUUCAAGCAGGAUUGCGUAGUACAUGUUUGUAACUACUUCACAUUGCCUUUUGUUGAGACUUAAACCAUUGGAUAUUGAGUUUAUGAAGCGUUUGCAUGAAAAAGUGAAUAUCAUCCCACUUAUUGCCAAAGCAGACACACUCACACCAGAGGAAUGCCAACAGUUUAAAAAACAGUUUGUGUGUAUGCACAUGUACACGCAAGGAUUUUUCUGAUGAAUGUGCAGGGAGCAGUGGUGUACUUAGUUUUACUUUACUUUUGCCAGAUUCUACUAAAAAUUUUAAGUGAGUUUAGCCCUGUUUAUUCAACUAAAUAAGACACUUGGGGAUUUAUAUCUAAAGGAAAAAUCUCAGUCAUUGUAAAUAAAUGACCUAAAGUCAUUAUUGUGGAAAUCAAUCAGAGAAAUCCCUUUCUGGAGUUUUACAUCUUUUUUGGAACUCUUUUGGUAUGAUAGCUAUAUGACUUUAACACUUCUGAAGUAAUUGGAUUUGGUGUUUAUAUAUCAACUUUACAGUUUUAAAAAAAAAAGACCAGCAUAGUACUUUGAUUUUAGAUUAUAAUUUUGCAUCAUUAAAAAACAGUAAAGGAUCUGGAAACAAGGGGCCAUAUAGGAAUCUAAGAAGCAUGUAAUAAACAUAAGACUAAUGUACUAAUUAUUAAUGUACCAAUUAUGUAUGGUACUCUUUGGCUGCUUCUUCCAUUUUGCAUAAUGAAAGAAAUCCAAGAACAUAAAAUAUAUGAAUUUCCAGAAACAGAUGAUGAAGAAGAAAAUAAACUUGUUAAAAAGAUAAAGGUAGGUUCAUCCCUGUACAUACACUAAAGUAAUCUGAGACCUUAAAAACAUACUACAACGUCCACAGGAAAGAUCAAAAGUAUCAGUGUUUUAAGUAGUUGGCUUAUAAAAUGCCUAGGGAGAUUUAAUGUUGAAUUCAACUUUAUAGUUAACUUUGAAGAUUAGCUAGUAUAUAUAAUAAGGAAUUGUAUAAACUACUGAGGUGAAUAACACAACCCUUAUUUCAAAUUGUUUUUAAUUAACUGGCUUUCAUAUUAUUUAAUUUUUUCCCUCCUAAAAAAUAAGUGAUGAGAAAGGAAAGGAGAGAAUUCCUUCUGUUAUGUUUUAAUUGCCAGACAAAAAUGUAUUUCUUUUGUCUUUAUAAAAGCCAACCAAAAUUAAAGCUAGAUAGGAGGAAUAAGUUCUAGCGUUCUGUAGCAUUGUAGGGUGGCUGUAGUUAACAGUAAUUUAGUCUAUAUUUUCAAAUAGCUAGAACAGAGGAUUAUGAAUGUUCCCAAUACUGAAAAAUAAGUAUGAGUUGAUAAAUGUGCGAAUUACUCUAAUUUGAUCAUUACAUAUUUGUAUACAGGUAUCAGAAUACCAUACUGUACCCCACAAAUAUGUACAAUUACGUUUCAAUUAAAAAUAAUAAAAACCAACCAAAAAUUUACAUCAAAAUAAUUUUCUGUAGUUUAAUUUAUCAUGGUUUUCUAAGUACUUUGGCCCUAAAAAUGGUAUACUGAAUAAUGGCAUUAUGUAAGCAAAUACCUUGGAAUAACGAAAUGCUUAUACCUCGCCAGUGAAGAAUUUCUGCAGUUGUAUGAAAUGGCUGGUUAUAUAUUUCCGGGAGCCACAGAAUUGUGAAGGGCUAUGCAUGGAUGAAUACAAAUCCAGUCACCUGGAUUUGAAAUUCAUGGUUAGAGCUUAGCAAAUAUACUAUUCCCUGCUUUAGGUACUGUUAUAGUUGGUUCAUGAUUAAGUAGGCAGGCUAGUCAUUAGCCUCCUUUUUUUUUUUAUCCUCAAAUGCUUUUCUAUACAUAUGUGUAUAUAUACACAUAUAUAUACACAUAUAUACACACACACACACACACAUAUAUAUAUAUAUAUAUAUAUUUUUUUUUUCUUUUGGAGACAGAGUCUUGCUCUGUCACCCAGGCUGGAGUGAAGUGGCACAUCUUGGCUCACUGUAAGCUCUGCCUCCCGGGUUCAUGCCAGUCUCCUGCCUCAGCCUCCCAAGUAGCUGGGACUACAGGCGCCCGCCGCCACGCCCGGCUAAUUUUUUGUAUGUUUAGUAGAGACCGGGUUUCACCAUGUUAGCCAGGAUGGUCUCGAUCUCCUGACUUCGUGAUCCACCCACCUCGGCCUCCCAAAGUACUGGGAUUAGAGGCGUGAGCCACCGCACCCAGCCAAUGCUAAUAUAUUUUUUACCUUUUUCCUCCCAAGUAUGGGACAAUUUUCUGUAGUGAUUUUUAGUAAAUAGUUUGCCCAGUAUAUUCUUGAAUAUUCUUAACUUUAAAGAGGAAAUUUGGCAGGGCGCAGUGGCACAUGCCUGUAAUCCCAGCACUUUGAGAGGACAAGGCAGGCGGAUCAGGAGGUGAUGGGUGAGGGGACCCAAGUAGCAGGAGGCUGGUGGUAUACUGACAGAAGUGGGUGGAAGAGGCCAAGGUGCAGCCAGCUGUCACUUCUUGGAACUCUCAAGUUAGAGGGCCCAUGGGAGGGCCUGUUGAAGGACUCAAGCAUUUGGAUUUCAACAACAGAGAGGACUUAAUCGCCUCUCAUUGUUACCCAGAAAAGCAGCAACUACCAACAGUGAAUUACAAAAGCCUUUCUCCUCCCUACCCCAGCAUAGGAGGGAAGGGGCUAGAGCCAGGAAACAGGAGGGAAUGGAAGUGUCCUAGAGGCAGGGUUACACUUUUCACUCUAAGGUGAGGGAGUGAGAAGAGGAGUUAAAGAGCAAAUCAAGCUCCCUAAACCACAAAAACAAUGGGCCCUAGGGGAGGGAAGUAAAAGAGAUUUAAAAUAAGUGACCUUGGACUUCUAAAAUGGAGAUAUUUUAAAUAAUCCAAAGUAUCAAAGAUGUAAAUAAACUCAUAUUUUGUAAUGGGAUCUACUAUUCAAUGAGUUGGGAAGUCUGACGUACUAUGAUUGGAGAGGGUAACUGGAAAAAGUAAAAAUUGGGUUACAGAAUAUCUCCACUAAACACUGGAAAAUCAGAUGAUUACAGACAGACUUAGACUAGCAGGAGAUAAGCCUAGAGAGAGGUAGGUGGGAGUCACAACAUUAAAGGCUAUAUUGUGCUAAGAAGCUAAGAACUUAGAACUUUGGACUCAAACUAUGGGAGCCACUGACAAAUUCUAGACAGGGGAGUCAUAUGAUCAGAGUGAAGAAGAUACCCUUUGACAACAGAGUAAAGACUGUUUGCAAGAAAGUCAGACUCAUCUAGAUUAGGUAGAUUACAAAAUACAAAUAAAACACUCUUGUUAGCAAAUAUUUAGGUAACUCUUUGUGACUAUGUCAAUAAAUUACAAUAUUUUUCUCUCAAUGUAAAAAAAAAUUACCAUACAUCUAAUGAUAAAAUUGUUUCCUAUGUCUUCAAUGUAAACUUCAGUAAAAUGUGUGUUUGCAUUUUUCAUCAUCUAUAAGCUGAUACGUUUUGCUAACUGGCUUACAUUUUAUGCCUCAAAAGACAAAUGGCUAUAUAGAAGACCAAAGCUAGAGAAGAUAUUACUUUACAAAAUUAAGACUGCUAUUCCUUGUUGAAUAAUAUUUUUAUAAUUUCCAGGCAACUAGAACUCAUGAAAAUUUUUUUUAUACGGUAACAUAUAUUUUUUCAAAGGUAUAUGUUUUUAGCAUCAUUACUUUAAAGCAAUUUUGAAUGCUAAACUGAGUUAAUCGCUCUAAAUUCCAUCUUUUACCCCCACCACUGACCUGAAAGUAUUCAGUUACAAUGAAGGUGGUACUUUAGAGACAAAAGUCUCCAACGGUGUUUCUGAAAACCGAACACCUAAUAGAAAAACAUUUCUAAUCAACCUUGCUGAACAUGGACAUUUUUCAGCUCAUUAGCCAGUCAAAUCAAACCAAAAACUGAACCUGGUUCCAACUUUUUUACCUUAGGGGAAGUAGAAUAUAUUGGUGAAAACGAGCCUAGAGAAAAAUGAAAGAUUUAUAACACUCUACAUUUAGGAAAACAUAUGACUGAGUGUUUUAUGCAACGUGGCUUGCUGAAAGUGCCUUAAAGUAGGAGACAGGACAGAAAGAGAAAAAGUCUACUCUUAGCUCAGGCAGUAACUAACUGGGGUAAACUCCCUGGUCUUUAUGUGGAGAGGCUGUAAAACAAAAAGCGCCUCUCGCUCAGGCAACUGCUCUAAGUUUAGAAAAGCUGGUGAGGAGAUGGUCUAUCUGCACUCUGUGAUUUAGUGGACUUGAAAAAAAAAAAGCACUAAGAACAAUCAGAGGAAAGAUGUGAUGACGAAGAUAAAGAAGGAAUAAGGGAACAGGACCAGGUGAUACUAGAUAGAAAAUAUCAAGAAAAGCAUUUAUAGAAGGACAAACAAGGCAAGUCAGUGUAAUGGCAAUGAAGAAACCGAAUGUGUACAGGAAGUGUACAGAAAGACUUUUCAAAUUCCAAUGGGCAGUGGAAUUGCAAACCCCUGCCACAGAACCUACUACCUUCGACUUGAGUUUGUUAUUUCUGGAUCUGCCUACCAAAGUCCAUAUUCCUCACUGAAGGUGGGGUUUAGGUAAUUGGGCAAUAGCCAAAAGUUUGAGGCUAAAGAUUGGUAUCAGAUUUAUACAUUAGAAGGCAAUAUAGAGAAUGGCCUUGGAGAUACGAAAAGAGAGAUCAGAAGAUGGUUUGAAGGUAAGAAGAAAUGUCAGAAGAAGUUGAGGGACCAGAAACCGGGUCCUUUACAGUUGAGGAGACAUCCUGCUGGAUAGAGUUUUAAAUGUUUCCUCCAGUUAUCUGCGUUAUUAUGCAGGAUUUUUGUCUCAGGAGUCUCCCCUUGAUUUUAUAAACUGACACAACUUCCUGUUUUGUUAUGAAUGCACACUGCUCCAGUCCUUCAAUAAACCCAUCGCACAUUUUCA